CCCUUAGAUGUUCUGGGCCGUACGCGCGCUACACUGAUGCAUUCAACGAGUUUCUUCCUGGUCCGAGAGGAAUGGGUAACCUUUUGAAAGUGCAUCGUGAUAGGGAUAGACUAUUGCAAUUAUUGGUCUUCAACGAGGAAUUCCUAGUAGACGUAGUUCAUCAGACUGCAUCGAUUACGUCCCUGCCCUUUGUACACACCGCCCGUCGCUCCUACCGAUUGAAUGCUCAGGUGAGCCAUUCGGACUUUCAUCAUGCUGGUUUCCAGUUUUGAUGAAGGAAAGUCUUGCGAACCUUAUCAUUUAGAGGAAGGAGAAGUCGUAACA
rnacentral:rRNA from 1 species